rnacentral:misc_RNA from 1 species
AUUCAAGCAGAUCAUAUAUUUUAUAUUCAAUCGUAUAAACUCGGCGUUUGCACAACAUCAGGCACCAUCUCAAUAUUGUAAUAUGACAGUAGACUCGACAAGGCAAAUACUCCCCCUGCAACUGCUACUGCAAACAUAGCCAGCUUGUGACAUAAUAAUGCCAUCUUUGGCUGUUUUUCGUUCAUGGAUUCCGACGCCAUCGAACCUGAGAAUGCAAACAUGAGAGAAACAACAAAUCCUUGAAAGAGAAGAGGCUUUCUUGUGAAUAUCACAGUUGGUACUAAAUCUUCUUUUAUCCUCUCAAAUGGAAGCUGAAAAAUUGCAAUAGCUGUCAAAAAUGCAAUUCUGUAUAAAGCAUCUUGAGUGCUAGUUGUGCCUGUGGGAAGAAAUAGAUCAUCUUUGUUAUUCAAAGAUUGCUUUGUAGAGUAAUCAUCACUUGUUACAUCCAUCCUAUUGAAAAUCUUGUGAAA